UACGGGGGGAGCAAGCGUUGUUCGGAUUUACUGGGCGUAAAGGGCGCGUAGGCGGCGCAACAAGUCACUUGUGAAAUCUCCGGGCUUAACCCGGAGCGGCCAAGUGAUACUGUCGUGCUAGAGUGCGGAAGGGGCUACUGGAAUUCUCGGUGUAGCGGUGAAGUGCGUAGAUAUCGAGAGGAACACCUGAGGUGAAGACGGGUUGCUAGGCUGACACUGACGCUGAGGCGCG
rnacentral:rRNA from 1 species